GUUCAUUAUUGUUUGGCUAAAUUACAUAAAACCCCCCUAUCAAAACCCGAUUUUUUACUUUCCUCCCAUGUUAUUUAAAAACCUACACUUUGUCUCCUUGUAAAAUAAAAAAUGUUCACUUCAUCCCUUGCCGUUAGUAAGUCGUUAGGGUUCCAUUUAUAAAAUAUUAUUAUAUAUAUUUUUAUGUCAAAAAUAUCCUCAGCCAUCUCUCCUGUGAACAUGAUAAAGGGCAAAAUAGUGAGGGAUAAAAUGGUCAUUUUAUCUUCACAGUUCACAUUGUAACGUCUGUGAACAUUUUUCAUUUUACAAGGGGGCAAAGUAUAGGUUUUUAAAUGACAAAGAGGAGAAAGUGAAAAAUCGGAUUUUGACAAGGGGUUUUCUGUAAUUUAGCGUUAUUGUUUUAUUCUGUUUGUAAUCAGCAGCAGCCAAGCACUCAGCCUCGAGCUCGGCGAGGAGGUCGCCGAUGCACUACUGUUGAUCAGAGGCUGCGAAGGAAGAGGAAGAAGAGGAGGAGGUGGAGGGGAAAGAGGAGGAAGAAGAAGAAGAGAAAGAGAAAUAGUGUAAAUUUAACUCAAAGAGUGUAACUUUCGUCUAAAAAGUGUAACUCUCAUCCCAAAGAGUAUAAUUUCUGUCUUAAAGAAUGCAAUUUUUAUUUAAAAUAGUGCAAAAUUUGUUUAAAACAGUGUAACUUUAUUUUAACAGUGCAAUUUCGUCUUCUUCUUUCUUCUAUAACUUUUUUUUCUUUAUUGUAGAAAAAAAUAGCAUGCUUCUCGGAACCGAGAAGCAUUUCCUCUUCGUUGCCGGCGGCGGCGGUAGGAACAAUGGGUUUAUUUGGCGGGUAGAAAAUCUGUUGCAGUGGAAGUGUAGGGUGAAGGCGGAGGAAGAGGACGCGAUACCGUGUUCGCUAUCGUCGCGGAGGCGGUAGAGGAGGGUUGAAGAGAAAAAAAAAGAAAAAAAGAGAGUUGCGGUGCGGCCUCGGCAAGGUCAGAGGUGAGGAGGGAGGGGGAUGCGCAUGCGAGGGCGAGGGUGUGAGGGGCAGAGGCAAGGCAGGUCGUUUCCGCCUUCAGCUCUGCCGUCUUCUUCGGAGAGAAAAAAAAAAUACGAGAAAAAAAUCGGAGAGAGAAAAAGGUAUAAGGAUAUUUUGGUAGUUUGCUGAAAAUUCGGACUGAAUUUAUAAAAUCGAAAAAAACGGUCCAAUUUUGCAAAAGCUCAAAAUUUGUGAAUUUUUUAUACAGAUUAGCCUAAAAAAAACAAAACAUGCCAAAAA
rnacentral:lncRNA from 1 species